rnacentral:lncRNA from 1 species
AAUUCCUUAGUCAAGUUAAAUUUUUCAUACCAACUGUUCCUAGAGCAAGUGGCAAAGGACUUGGUAAUUGGCAUUCGAGAUCCAAAUUCGAAUCCUAGUUGAUUCACAUUUCUAACUAAGUUUACUUCUAAAUGAAAUAAACGAAGCGAGUAGCGUGCUACCUAUCUCUCUCUCUCAAAAAAAAAAAAAAAAAAAAGAAGAUAAAUUUUUCAUGAGUACAAUCUAUACAUGUUAGAUGUGACUCGAAAUCUACUAUCGAUUCAGGUUCGGGUUUACGACUCGCCGACAGCUUCGCGGUGCGACCAAUUUGGAAAAAAAAAUUAUGGAGGAAAAAUGAAUAUCUGUGGUGGGUAGUGCGGGGGGCGGAGCCCCCCGCGGUACGGAUCGGAUACGAAACCCGUUAUGAGUUUUUCUUUUUUCGUUUUUCGUUUAUGCCCUAGAGGCGUGUGAUCGUGGUUGGUUGUAAUCUGAAGAACAUUGUAUUUCCUUUUCGUUCCAUAGUGAAGUUCUCUCCUCCCUCGCCCGUGGUUUUUCCCUGCAAAGGGUUUUCCACGUAAAUCAGUGUCUCUUUAUUUUCUGCUUGUGGUUUGAUUGUGUUUUGUGUUCGUCAUUUCGUUUCUGUUUGUGCGUUUGUCGUAACAGUUCCUUUUCCGCGCAUUGGCUCCGACCGAAAUGAUUUUUCAUUCUACACAU